AACAGGAUUAGAUACCCUGGUAGUCCACGCCGUAAACGAUGUCGACUUGGAGGUUGUGCCCUUGAGGCGUGGCUUCCGGAGCUAACGCGUUAAGUCGACCGCCUGGGGAGUACGGCCGCAAGGUUAAAACUCAAAUGAAUUGACGGGGGCCCGCACAAGCGGUGGAGCAUGUGGUUUAAUUCGAUGCAACGCGAAGAACCUUACCUACUCUUGACAUCCAGAGAACUUAGCAGAGAUGCUUUGGUGCCUUCGGGAACUCUGAGACAGGUGCUGCAUGGCUGUCGUCAGCUCGUGUUGUGAAAUGUUGGGUUAAGUCCCGCGACGAGCGCAACCCUUAUCCUUUGUUGCCAGCGGUUAGGCCGGGAACUCAAAGGAGACUGCCAGUGAUAAACUGGAGGAAGGUGGGGAUGACGUCAAGUCAUCAUGGCCCUUACGAGUAGGGCUACACACGUGCUACAAUGGCAUAUACAAAGAGAAGCGACCUCGCGAGAGCAAGCGGACCUCAUAAAGUAUGUCGUAGUCCGGAUUGGAGUCUGCAACUCGACUCCAUGAAGUCGGAAUCGCUAGUAAUCGUGGAUCAGAAUGCCACGGUGAACACGUUCCCGGGCCUUGUACACACCGCCCGCCACACCAUGGGAGUGGGUUGCAAAAGAAGUAGGUAGCUUAACCUUCGGGAGGGCGCUUACCACUUUGUGAUUCAUGACUGGGGUGAAGUCGUAACAAGGUAACC
rnacentral:rRNA from 1 species